AAGAGCCGUAUGCCUGAAUUGGGCACGUACGGAUCUGUGGGGGAUAUACCUAGUAAUAGGUGUUUCUACCCGAC
rnacentral:ncRNA from 1 species